AACUGUUCCAGAUUAAAGGAUACUAAAGAGACAUGACAACUACAUGCAACAUGUAAUCCCAAACUAGAAAAAAAGCUGUAAAGGACAUUACUGGGACUGAACAAAAUACAGACUACAGGUUCUGGGAAUUCAGCAGUGAUGAGGAGGUAGUCCUUACUCUCAUGGAACUUGCAAUCUGGUCAGAGAGAGAGAUCCCCAACACGUAGAGACGUAUAUAUAUGGUGUGUCAGGUGACGAGAAACGCUAAAACAAUCCUGAGAUGAGGAGGCUGAGGCCAAAGGAAAGACUAAGACCUGCCCAUGGACACAUGUUGGCAAAGACCAAGCAGGAACUCGAGCCAGUUUACCUGAAACCAAGGUCCAGGCAUUUGUGAAGAGUUGAUGGUCUUGCCUGGAAUGCCCAACCCCAUGUCCUGGACGUCUUUCGACUGGACUGCCCAGACCUCAGAGCAGGGUCUGUGUUGACUCACCUCAUGUCUCCAGCUCUCCCAGCUCUCAGGGCCUUGCACAGAGAAAAUGCUAACUUAACCUUGGUUUGCUGAAGGAACAAACCAGUUCUCCAGCACCUUGGCUUCAGACAGUUGCAGAUGUUUGCAGAAGACUCCUUGGACAUGGAAAGGUGAGUGCUGAGAGGACAUGGGCAGGACAAUGACCAGGUGGGGUGACACAAUGCAGUAUGUGAGGACUAGCA
rnacentral:lncRNA from 1 species